rnacentral:rRNA from 1 species
GUGGGUAGCGAACGGGAUUUAGAUACCCCCCGGUAGUCCCACGCCGUAAACGGUGGGAUACUAGGUGUUGGUGGCUAUCGUCAUCCAGUGCCCGUAGCUAACGCGUUAAGUAUCCCGCCUGGGGACUACGGCCGCAAGGCUAAAACUCCAAAGGAAUUGACGGGGGCCCGCACAAGCAGCGGAGCGUGUGGUUUAAUUCGAGGCAACACGAAGAACCUUACCUGGGUUUGACAUGUACGUAGUAGUGAAGCGAAAGCGGAACGAUCCUUCGGGAAGCGUACACAGGUGCUGCAUGGCUGUCGUCAGCUCGUGCCGUGAGGUGUUCGGUUAAGUCCGGUAACGAGCGCAACCCUCGCUGUUAGUUACCAUGUGUCUAACGGGACUGCCGGUUUAAUGCCGGAGGAAGGUGGGGAUGACGUCAAGUCAGCAUGGCCUUUAUGUCCAGGGCUACACACACGCUACAAUGGCCGGUACAAUGGGUUGCCAAGCCGCGAGGUGGAG